UGGGGAAUUUUGGACAAUGGGCGAAAGCCUGAUCCAGCAAUGCCGCGUGUGUGAAGAAGGCCUUCGGGUUGUAAAGCACUUUUGUCCGGAAAGAAAUCCUUGGCUCUAAUACAGUCGGGGGAUGACGGUACCGGAAGAAUAAGCACCGGCUAACUACGUGCCAGCAGCCGCGGUAAUACGUAGGGUGCAAGCGUUAAUCGGAAUUACUGGGCGUAAAGCGUGCGCAGGCGGUUUGCUAAGACCGAUGUGAAAUCCCCGGGCUCAACCUGGGAACUGCAUUGGUGACUGGCAGGCUAGAGUAUGGCAGAGGGGGGUAGAAUUCCACGUGUAGCAGUGAAAUGCGUAGAGAUGUGGAGGAAUACCGAUGGCGAAGGCAGCCCCCUGGGCCAAUACUGACGCUCAUGCACGAAAAGCGUGGGGGAGCAAAACAGGAUUAGAUACCCUGGUAGUCCACGCCCUAAACGAUGUCAACUAGUUGUUGGGGAUUCAUUUCCUUAGUAACGUAGCUAGCGCGUGAAGUUGACCGCCUGGGGAGU
rnacentral:rRNA from 1 species